CUCCUCCAGUCGAGCACCACCGGCAGCCAUGGAUACGCAGCAUCCAGACGAAGAAACCACAGCCUGAGAUCAGCAGCUCGUUUGGAUCGCUGGCCGGAUCCGUGGCGUUGUCUCCUGUUCCACGAAUCGAGAUCUAAGCUCACCAACUUUAAUCUUUCAUCUCUCUUACCGAUUC